rnacentral:rRNA from 1 species
CCUACGGGAGGCAGCAGUGAGGAAUAUUGGUCAAUGGACGAGAGUCUGAACCAGCCAAGUAGCGUGAAGGAUGACUGCCCUAUGGGUUGUAAACUUCUUUUAUAUGGGAAUAAAACAGGGUAUGCAUACCCUCUUGUAUGUACCAUAUGAAUAAGGAUCGGCUAACUCCGUGCCAGCAGCCGCGGUAAUACGGAGGAUCCGAGCGUUAUCCGGAUUUAUUGGGUUUAAAGGGAGCGUCGGUGGAUUGUUAAGUCAGUUGUGAAAGUUUGCGGCUCAACCGUAAAAUUGCAGUUGAAACUGGCAGUCUUGAGUACAGUAGAGGUGGGCGGAAUUCGUGGUGGAGCGGUGAAAUGCUUAG